rnacentral:rRNA from 1 species
UGGGGAGUUUUGGACAAUGGGCGAAAGCCUGAUCCAGCAAUGCCGCGUGUGUGAAGAAGGCCUUCGGGUUGUAAAGCACUUUUGUCCGGAAAGAAAUCCUUGGCUCUAAUACAGUCGGGGGAUGACGGUACCGGAAGAAUAAGCACCGGCUAACUACGUGCCAGCAGCCGCGGUAAUACGUAGGGUGCAAGCGUUAAUCGGAAUUACUGGGCGUAAAGCGUGCGCAGGCGGUUUGCUAAGACCGAUGUGAAAUCCCCGGGCUCAACCUGGGAACUGCAUUGGUGACUGGCAGGCUAGAGUAUGGCAGAGGGGGGUAGAAUUCCACGUGUAGCAGUGAAAUGCGUAGAGAUGUGGAGGAAUACCGAUGGCGAAGGCAGCCCCCUGGGCCAAUACUGACGCUCAUGCACGAAAGCGUGGGGAGCAAACAGGAUUAGAUACCCUGGUAGUCCACGCCCUAAAACGAUGUCAACUAGUUGUUGGGGAUUCAUUUCCUUAGUAACGUAGCUAACGCGUGAAGUUGACCGCCUGGGGAGUACGGUCGCAAGAUUAAAACUCAAAGGAAUUGACGGGGUCAUAGCUGUUUCCU